UAUUAUUAACUUAAUAUCGAUCAAAACCUCAUCAUAAAGUGUCAAUUAACGACUAACUGCCGUCGAGCAAGUGAUUAACAGUUCAAUUAAACAUUAUUUAAUCGAUAUCGUUUAUAAACGCCAUUGAUUGUUUACAUGUGGGUUUUACUUAACUGUUUUAAAGUAACAUUCAGAUAUGUCUUUUUUUCUUUUGUUUUGUGUUUAUGUACAGAUUAGUUGAUAAAAUAACUAUAAAAAUAAUCAUUUGUGUUGCCUUGGAAAUUAGUAUAAUAAUAAUUAUUUGUGUGUUAAUUAGUAUGAAAUUUUGUCACUUAAAUCUGUUAUUUAUUUUAAAGUUUAAGAGUAGGUAGACUAGGUAGUAAAUUUAUUACCCAUGUUGAUGGUUUGCUUUUAUGAAAAAUAUGCUAUGGAUAAUAAUCUCAUUAAUAACCAAAACAUUUAGGCAUAUGCUUUUAAAUAUUACUUUAUUCCCAGUGCCUUUCAGUAUGACAAAAAAAGUGUAUAGCUAGUUCAUACGUCGGUGUCGGUACCCAAUCUCAAUACCUAAUGUACCUAUUGAUAUAAACAACACAUAUAUUUUUUUAACUAAAGUGAAUGUGGCUAUAAUGGGUUUGUGUUUAUUGUACAGUCAUCUGCAUUAAUAUGUUACUCUUCAAAGGCCGCAAAAAUAUGGAACACGCUCGUAUGGCUCUACAAAUAAGAUCGUGUCAGAGGGCCUACCAUGUUCGACCGACGUGUUGCCUCCCUGUCACACUUACGUACGAAUUUACAAGUGCGACAGAAAGGCAACACGUCGAACGUAGUUUGCGGUAGGCCCUCUGAUAUAUUUGCGACCUUCGUUGUGUAACAUAUUAUUGCAUGUAACUGUACCUACAUUAUGACAAUCAUGUUCAUGUUUUUUUUAGUUUUCAUCAGUUAACAGUUAUUAACUUUGAAUUAAAAGUAUGGGAAUCUGUUAACAAAGGAUAACCAUUGUUUCGAGUCUCUAAAAGCUGUGGAUCAAAGGUGAAAAGGUUCAAAAGAUUGCUUGGGAACAUGGGAACACGCCCGGUUACAUAAUUUUGAAAAGUCGAUAGGUCCGCUGCAGGAUGAAUGAGACCCGGCGUGUCGGAGGAUCGUAACGGGGUCAAUGGCCGCGCUUAGCCAAUUCAGCACGAAUUUCGCGAUAUCCUUGGAAGGCUUUUCAGUUUGGCGCCCAUUCAAUUUAAGGAGCUCCGUGUGCUAUUUUAGGAAUUUCUGGGUUAUAUAGAUCAGAAAUUACGUCAUAGUAACGAAGCUUUCUAACAAUCCUUUGCCAUAAAAGAUACCUGCGUAAUAAUUGUUAGAAAAUAAACUAUAUGUUUUUACAUUUGUUACAAAUUGCUUGUUCGUGAUUUGCAUAUGCUUGCCUAACAUAUUAUUGGACUGGUUUUCUUGGCAUUGUUAUAAUAUAUUUUUAAAAACUCUAUUAUUUUAUUAGCAAUUUAUCACUAGUAGACUAUAAUGACCAGAGCUCGAACAAAUCAUGCGGAUGACGCAAAAGUGGCGUAAUUUUGCACACAGGUGAUGUUUGUAUUUAAACCACCGCCGUGUGACAUGUCGCAUUUUUAAACAUUUUAGGCAAAUAGCGAAAUCUUAGGUUUGCCGUUUGCUUCCGUUGCUAUACUUACUGUUUUUGCAUAUUCACCAUCAAUGCAUUUCUUAAUAUUUGCUGCUAUCAUAAAAUUUGUAAGGUUCAUAUUAGAUUCACUUUGCCCCUUUUUUCCACGUUUCCGACAUGUUUGGUUGUCUCCAAAUGUACUUCCUAGAACGGAAAAUUGCAACAAUAUUCUAUUAAAGAUGACAUUUUAUAGCGUCUUUUUAUACAAUAAGUAGUAAAAAUAAAUCCUACCUACAUAUAAUCAUAUACAUAUAACAGCUAAACAAUAACAAAGUCAGUUUAUUGUUCCUUGGAUUGACAAUGUCAGUCAAAGACGUAUCAUUUGAUAAAGAGGUUGAUAAAUAAUGUGGUAAUUGUUUAUGGGUGAUUCUCGGAGCGUUUCAACCGCUUACAGUCUCCUGUUCGCAUUAACCUUUCUUGUUCAAAAUAACCAAAACUGAUCUGACUGACAGCGGUUGAAAUGCUCUGAGAAACACCUAUGAAAAAUAAAAUACUAUUUGAAAUCACCUAUGAGUGGCUUGACGUCAUCGGCAUGAUUUGUUCGAGCCCUGCUAAUGACGUUGACGUUUGCAUUGCCACCAAAGAGCAUAUAAUCACUAGGUUCGUUCUUGCCACCAGCGUAUGAAAGGUGCAGGUAAGGAAUCUCCAUAUACCAAAAAGUGUCAUCAAAAAACCUUAAAUAGGUGGCGCUUCAAUACCUAGAGUACUUGAACAAAAAAUCAAAUCAUAGACAGCGCAAUUCACUCCGUCAAUAACGCCUAGGUUCUUAGCUACUCUAGCGCUACUCUAGAGAGAUUUGGAACUAUUAUUUAUAGCUGACAGCUGGACACUUUUGCAACAGUUCUACCAUAAGAGAUGCCACUCCUCUUAAUUCCACACUCCAUACACCAGCGGCUGUAGCACGGUCGCAUUUUUAUCACAUGUCACUAUGCGUGUCAAGUUGUAACAAGUAUGUAACUGCGAAAGUGACAGAAAUAGUGACAAGUGAUAAAAACGACCGUGCUGCAGCCGCUGGUCUUAAUCUGACCAAAGAGUAUAAGUAAGUAUAUUAGAAUCUGGUCCAAAGAAUAACCAACCUAUUUCUUUGUUUUUGUGUUCUUAAUUAAAAAACUAUAAUAAGUUGUGUCGUUAUCUGUACCGCAAAAAAUGCACCACGUAAUUCGUGCUCAGCGCUCGAAAUGUCACUCCAAAUAGGAUUCCGACCAAGCGCACGGUUCAUAGAGAUGUAAUACUAAAUACUACAGUUGCUGGUCGCUAGUAGAGACGCACAGUCGUUCCGUACGCACGCGCUGAAACAUUCCCUGACUAACCAUAGUGCACGAUUUCAGUCGCCGUGAAUUUAAAAAAAAACUUUGAUUAGUGUUUGACAUUUUGUUGUACAUCUGGUUAUAUAAAAUCACAAUGACUUCGCCGGCCAUCACGAAGUCGCCUGACAACCAGAAGGGAACCAAGUCUCCGACACACUCCGCGGGCGCCGCCGCCACCGAGCGGCCGGCCUCGCGCGCCGAGUCAUCCUCCACCUCCGCCGCGCCACCACCGUCCGAGCCCUUCAGCUGGCUGCGGAUCUUCAAGCUGGCAGACCUUAUGAUGAAACAGGGCUGCUAGACAAUACUACUGAAGUUUAUGUCCUUUCUAACGGAUUUACCAGGCGCAACUUUUUAAUUCAUCGUCGAGGAGAAUAAUUCAAUAUGAUGCAUCAAUUCAUUCCAGUGUAUUAAAAUACUCAAAAUAGUACCUUCAGAUUGGGUAAUUCAAGUCAGGAUAUUAACUAUCAAUUAAAUAGCAAUAAAUGUAGGAAGUAGAGUAGGUAUAUCAUUAGCACGAACAAGUUCUCAGUUUCCAUAAAUACUAGAGCUCUUUGUUAAUGAUUAAUAUGAUAAAAUAUCGUUACUUCCUUGGCAGUUCGCACGCAAUGAUAUACUUAAGGGGGUUUAAGUAAGUAUGUACAAGGACUUUUUUGUUUCAUAUGAUGUGGCUAGUCCUUUUAGAUGUAGGUUCAUCGCGCAAUUAUGUAGCAUAGACGGAAUAAUAAAUAGUAUUUAAUAGUGUCAAAAUUCUCGAAAUACCCAUUAAUGUUAACUUCUGAGCAGCUUGUAUGUUUGACGCUAAUUUUAACCUCGUGUGUAUGGAUGGCACAUCAAAAUUAAUAACAUACCUACUCUUUGGUCUUGAGCUUUCGACUAUGUUCCUGUUGUUCAUAAUUGCUAUUCAUUUAUAUGUAUUAUAGUGUAAUAGAAUGAAACGAUUAACAAGUAUGUGUAAGCUAACUGUACAGAUUUUUAAGUUACAAAAGUGUGGGAGAGAAAGGGCCACUUUGAACGUCAUUAUUUCAUAGGAAUAAUGUUUAUGGUGGCGCUCCACACGUUGUCACUUGCCAAAUCAGUGCAAAGUUAGCUUGGACUGACUAAGUUCCAUAUUGUGUUUGAAAUAUUUUAAAGUAAUAUUUAUAAAUUUAUUUAUACUGACAUUAUAUUAUCACUGAAAAAUGUUACGAAAUCAAUUGUUUAAAUUAUAAUCGUAUAAGAUCGUUUAAAUAAAUUACUCGAAGUUG